UACGGAGGGUGCAAGCGUUAUCCGGAUUCACUGGGUUUAAAGGGUCCGUAGGCGGUUUGGUAAGUCAGUGGUGAAAGCCCUUCGCUCAACGGAGGAACGGCCAUUGAUACUGCCAGACUUGAAUUACUGGGAAGUAACUAGAAUAUGUAGUGUAGCGGUGAAAUGCUUAGAUAUUACAUGGAAUACCAAUUGCGAAGGCAGGUUACUACCAGUGGAUUGACGCUGAUGGACGAAAGCGUGGGGAGCGAACAGG
rnacentral:rRNA from 1 species